rnacentral:rRNA from 1 species
GACGAACGCUGGCGGCGUGCCUAAUACAUGCCAGUCGAACGAGAGCACCCGGUGCUUGCCCUGGUCAAUCUAGUGGCGAACGGGUGGGUAACACGUGGGUAACCUGCCCAUCAGAGGGGGAUAACAUCCGGAAACGGAUGCUAAAACCGCAUAGGUCUUCGAACCGCAUGGUUUGAAGAGGAAAAGAGGCGCAAGCUUCUGCUGAUGGAUGGACCCGCGGUGCAUUAGCUAGUUGGUGAGGUAACGGCUCACCAAGGCCGUGAUGCAUAGCCGACCUGAGAGGGUGAUCGGCCACAUUGGGACUGAGACACGGCCCAAACUCCUACGGGAGGCAGCAGUAGGGAAUCUUCCGCAAUGGACGCAAGUCUGACGGAGCAACGCCGCGUGAGUGAAGAAGGUUUUCGGAUCGUAAAACUCUGUUGUUAGAGAAGAACAAGUGCUAGAGUAACUGUUAGCGCCUUGACGGUAUCUAACCAGAAAGCCACGGCUAACUACGUG